rnacentral:lncRNA from 1 species
AAGAGUAGAAAAAAAAAAAAGGAAAGAAAGGAAAAGAAAAGGGAUUGGAGUGGCUAUUGUGUUUGUUUUGAGCUAAGUGAUAGGGGAAAGGGGCAACUUGUGGAUUGAUCUUCAUGUCACCCACGCCAGGACAGAGUGGGGGAAGAAAACUAUUCUGGGAGGGCUAGAAGAAAUCCUCAGGGGUAAUCCUUGACCACUGGGGAAAGAAUCUGAAGAGACAGGUCUAGUCUCCAAAAAUAUCAACCUUCAGGUCCCUCAUCAGAUCUGGGAGAUCUUGGGGGAGAAGACCUGAGCUUGUUCUGGAGGGAAGUUCACAAUAAUCGUCAAUACACAAGAAGCAUUCAUCUCCUAGACAGUAUCCAACAUGUCCACACUUUUGUAUCUUUCAUGAGCUCAGGGAUAACAGAACCCCUAUGUUUAUUGCGUUCAAUUUGAGAAAAUUGUAUUAAAUGCCUACCAUGUGUAAGGCAUUGGGGCUACAAAAAUACUUAUAGUACACAUUUCUAUAACAUUUUAAUAUUUACAGGCUUUUCCUUCACACCUACUCUCUACAAUAAUGUGAGACUUUCUUAGCUUUAUUUUACAGAUAAGGAAAUGAAGGUUCAGAUUGACUGACUUAACAGCAUCAUAUAGAUAAUAAUUCAAUAAGACAAUCACUUUCCCAACUUCAAGCCUCAUUCACUUUCCCAACUCCAAGCCUCAUACACAGUCUACAACUUGUUACUUCUGUUCUUAUAGCAAAAGCAUGAACACAAAGAACUGGAUAAGAGAAGGGAUUGAGCAAUAAGUACGCAAGACGGGUCUGGGCAACAUGCUGGAAGUGGGAGAUUAUGUCCAACUGGGGAGUCACCAGAGAAGUCCUCAUGAGGGAAGUGACCCAAACAACAUCAGGAGAGAAGGAACUUCAGUGGGUUGAGAUAGUAGAGCAAGGUGGGGAAAAGAGUACAUUGUUGAUAUGGAAAAAAUCACACGAGCAAAGAUAUGAAGAUGACACAGGGUAGAAGGAGAACUGCAAGUGAAGAAGUCAUAUGAGAUAAGGAUGAAAAGGUAAUUUAAAAUCAAAUUCUACUGGGUUCUGAGUGCCAGCUAAACAGCUUACAUUUUGUUCAAUAAGCAAGGCAGAUCCACUAAAGUUUUCUGAAGAGAAAAGUUACAUGAUCUUAGAGAGGUAAUAAGAAUACUCAUUGUAUAUAAAGUUUGUAUACAAUGCAUACAAAGUGUAUUGGAGAGGGGAGAAGCUGGUGUAAUAGGGACUAUCACAAUAGUCUGGACAAAAAAAUAAAAGAUGAAGAUCUGGGUUAGGAAAUGGACAGGAGCUGGAAUAGGGUAAUGGUUUGAGCAACUUGAGCCAUAUCGUGCCUAUUUCAGUCCUCAUCCCAAUCACUGUCUGAUACUAUAGUCAUGGUCUGUGAAUGCUGGACAGCUCUUUGGGGUUGCCCAGCCAGAAGUUAUGGUAAAGACAUCAUCAAAGAGGCUUUGAAGAGAUGAUGAAGAUGAAAGUCACAGCUAUAAUCAUAGCAAUUGUAGCUAGCUAGCAUUUAUAUAUGUACCAGUCAUUGUGCUAAGUGCUUUACAAAUAGUAGCUCAUUUGAUCUUCACCACAACCCUUCAAGCUAGAGGAGGAAUCAGAUGCAAGUAGAGUUUAAGUGAUGUGUCCAAGGUCACACAGCUACAAAGGUCUGAGGCUGGAGUUGAACUUGGGUCUUCCUCACUCCAGCUCUAGCCUACUAUCCACUGCACUAAGUGACACAAAAUGGGUGAAAUACUGUGCUCUAAAGAAGCUAAUGAUUCCCCUAAUGUCAGGUAGAGAGUCUAACUGGAACUUCCAGACCUAGAACCCAAAUAUCCUCACCCUAGUGAAACUCACCAAACAUUUAUUAAACUCCUACUAUAUCCCAGGCCCUUUGUCAGGCACUGGAGAUACAAGAGUGAAAAGUUAUAUGGAGGUAAUAUCUUAAAGCACUUAGCAUAGUACCUGACACAUAAAAGGCACCUUACAAAUGCUUGUUCCUUUCCUUUUUCCUAUUGCCCUCCAUCAUAUUAUAAUUUUAGAGGGAACUGUGACUGCCAUACAAUUAAGUGUGCCACGGUAGUAUGUGAUGAGAGUUAAGGAUAGAACCUGUCAAUGUGAUCAUUUGAAGAGGGGAGAGAGAGCAGUUUCAGGUAAGGGUGAGGAAAGACAGAAAUCAAGGAAAGUUUCAGGAAAGAAGUAGCACCUUAUUGAGGCAUUGGAGAGAGAGACAGAGAGAAGCAUUUUAAUAAGGAGAAAAAGAGUGUUUCCUUAUAUAGUGUCUACAUACCCAGAAAUGGAAGAGGGGAGGAUGAAAUGGACACUAGUUGUCUAGAACAUAGAAUACCUACAGAGAAGUGAGAGAAAUAAGAAUGGGAAAUAAGUUCGGAAAGGUCUUGGACAAAGAAGCCAGUUAGAAGGAAUGAACUUAGAAAAUGACCAUGGCAGUAGAGACCAGGUAGAUACAAGAAUCAUUGUAGAAGGAAAGUACAGCAGCUAGCAGAGUCUAAUUUCUCUACAAUACUUCCUAUCCUGAAGUACUCCUAAACAACCAAAAUUUGCCACCUGCCUCUUCAAUGGCCUCUCUUCCAAGCUUCCCUAAUUGUAUCUUUUUCUACCUCCUUCUCAGUCCCUCAAUUUAUAAUGAGCUACCCUGAAGCCAAAUCCUAACACAUGCUAUAGUGAAAUUUUACUAGAUCAUGAAAGGUCAGAAGAACUGAGUUCAAAUCCUGCCCGGGUGGACUAGAGAGCCUCUGAAGUCUCUUCUAGGUUUAAGUAUGUUCUAGGACCUAGGUCCCUGUGAGCUAGGUAGUACAAGAAUUAUGUUCAUUUUGCAAAUAAGAAAAUAGGUUCAAAGAGCAGGCAAUUCUGGAGGUCACAUAACUACUAGGUGGCACAAUGGAUAGAGCAUUAGGUUUGGAGUAAGAAAGCCCUAAAUUCAAAUCCAGCUGCAGACACUUAGUGAUAUGACCCUGAGCAAGUCAGUUAACCUCAGUUCUUCCUCUCAAUUGAUGCCAGGAGAGAGUGCUUCUAUGUCCAGAAGGAAAGGGGUGACACCCUCCAGUGUGAUGAACUGCUAGCUAUGUCUUCAUACAAGUCAGUGGUUGGAAGGAGUCUCUCAGGUCUCCAUUCGAAGUUCAGAGAACCAUGUGACAUAGGUCACCCACAGAGCUGGCUUUUACAGUCAAUCACAAUUCCUUUUCUAGUCUGCCCUGAUUUCUACUUCCAUUCAAGUCAGAACUAUUGCUCUUAUCUCCUCUGCUCACUAAGGAAACAGGGCCCUCCCUCCCCUCUCAUGCCAAGUUUCUUUAUUCCAGGCCAAAACAGUUCUCUUUUCAGCCAAAUGAAUGUUCAGCUCAAGAGACAUCUCUGGAGUCUGCCCACAGAACAACUUUGAAUUAAACUCCUUUCUUGGGCAUUGAGGCACUUGAAUUGGGUACAUUAACUUGCGUUCCCUUUUAAAGUGGUCUUUUAAAAAAUACCUUUUUGAUUCUGUAGAUCCUCUAAAAGCAAUUUUUGCUUUAAAAGUCAAUUUAAAGUGUCAAUUUUGACAGCCAGGUGACCCAAAAAAUAGAGCCUUAGUCCUAAAAUUAAGAAAACUUGAGUUCAAACACAGCCUCAGACACUUUCUAGUUUGUAACCUUGAGUUAGUCACCUAACAAAUCUUCCUGCCUCAGUUUCCUCAACUGUAAAAUGGAGAUAAUAACAGCACAUUUUUUCAGGGCUAUUGUGAAAAUCAAAUGGAUUAAUAUUUGUAAAGCAUUAAGCACAGUGCUGGAACAUAGUAAAUGCAAUAUAAAUGCUUAUUCUCUUCCCCAGUUUAAGCACCAUGAAUUAGGGAUUUUCUUUAUGCUGAGCACUAGAGAAGACACAGCAUAAAAGCAAAAACAGCAUUUGCUUUUAUGAAGCUUCAUUCCACUUACAUUUAGACGAGUAAGCAAAUGCAGUAUAAUUUGAGGAGAAACAGAGAUAGAGUGUGGAGAGAGAGAGAACAUGAUAACAAUUAGGACUAUCAGGAAAUUAGGAGAUUCACAUGAAGUGAGCCUUGAAGGAAAUUAGGGCUCCUAAGAGGCAAGGCUGAAGAAGGGAGUGCUUUGGGGAGAGGGGAGACUUUAUGUAUGGAAGCAUACAGAGAUGGAAUGCCAAAUUCGAGGAACAGCAAAUAGACCAGAACCUUAGGAUGAAGGAAGAAAAGUAAUGAAAUCACAGCAUUCUGGAAUUGAAAAGGAUUUUAGCAGUCCCACUGCUGACACAUGACCCUGGUCAAAUCAGUUGUCCUUUAUGGACUUCAGUUUCCUCCUCUGUAAAAUAGAGAUAAUAAUUCUUACACUAAUUCCAUCAGAGUUGUGAGAAAAGUAUACUUCGUAAAUCCUACAGCAGCUAGCCAAAUCUUGUCAAAUUUCACAUCCCCAGAGAAUAGCAUUUUCAAUUGGGGGCCACUCAGUCUCUGGUUGAACAUUUCUAGUUUUCAGGUUAGCCUAUUCCAAUAGAGAACAGCUCCCAUAGGGACUGGAUGUUGACCUGUAUAGAAUGUGAAUGGGUUGAGGAAGGGACAAGGGCAAAUGAAUCUGGCUGGAGUGGGAAUGUCAGCGUUAGAGAGAAGUCAUAUUCCUCCAACUUAUAAAGAGAUCAACAACACUUAUUAAUUGUAACUGGAUCUUGGAGUGAGUGGAGUCUAAGGAAGGAUUAAAGACAGGUUGGUUUUUACCCCAUUUAAUGGACUACAUCCCCACAAUAUGACAAGCAUAAAAUCUAGCUGUGCAGGAGGAGGCAGAGAAAGGUCCUGCCUCCUUGCACAUGGUCAAAAGUAGAUUUCUCUCAUCGUUGAGUUCAUAGGCGUUAGAGCUGGUAGGUGCUUGGAGAUCCUCUAGUCCAACUCCCUUGUUUUAUGUUUGAGGCCAAAAGAUGAUAAUCAAUGUCUCCUAGAAGAAGCAGAUCUUCCGUCUCCAACCCCAGGGUUCCGUGCCAUGAUGCUACCUCAGAUGACCACCUUUAAAGACCCAGGAAGUAUGACCUUGAAAAGAGGGGGCAGAUGUGGUCACAGAGAAUUAAGGUCCCAGAGCAAUUCAGAAUGAAAGGCACAAGCAUGGUCCACAGAGAGAAUGCCCCUAGACAGACUGUUACAGGGACAAUAAUGAUAGCAGCACUCCAACCAACGUCUCCCUAAGAGCAAGAAAUCCUCCACUUACUCACAUUGUCUCUCUCAGAGUCCCCUAAAUAGGAGUUUUCAUGAUACUUGAGGGUGUGUGUGUGUGUGUGUAUGUGUGGGGGGGGGGCAGAAGAAAGUCCAGGACCUUUUUGUGUUUUAUAAGACACAACUAUUUCUCUUAGAUAAGUCUGUGGACUUCUUCUUUGGAAGCAGGGGUAUGGACAAAAUAGUCUCCUGAUCACUCACCAGAGCUUAGGAGGAAUAUGUUCAGAAUGGACACCAAAAAACCCCAAUCUUGUAGGAACUCUGUGGGCCAUUCUAAGUCCUGGCUCUUUUCCUUCCACUUCCCAGUUAUUGGGACAUAAUUCUUUGUCUAAUGCUAUUCAUCUACCCUUACCCCAGGCACUGGGGCUGGAAAGAGAGGAGGGUUUGCUUUCUGACUCUCACUUCCCAGUCUCCCAACACUGUUCUUCAGGGCAUUCAGGGAACUGUGACCAUAGAAACCCUUGCAGAUCAAAGGCUACCACUGAGUGGAACAUCCCUUAGGGAGAUUUGACUUCCUUCCCCCAGCAUCUCACCCCCAUGCAGCACUUCCGACCCCACUUGCUUCUAUAUCAAGAACACACGACUCUUUAAAAAGCCAGCAGACAGUAUCUUCCCUCAAAGACUUGAUCCAAGAAGACCACCAUGGAAAGAAGUCAGUACCAGGAGGUGGGCAUACAGAACAAUCAUGAUAGAACAACAAUAACAGCUCUUCCGUGAUGCUUUAAGGUUUAUUUGCUAAGCACUUUCCUCACAACAAUCUACCAAUCUACCUUAUACCUCAAGUAGCAUAAGGAUUGUUAAUUCUAUUAUACUGAAGACCCCAGAAUUCUAAGAGAGGCAGAUCCAGGGAAUGGUGCUGUAGAAAGAAGUUUUAAUUUGGAAUGAAAAGAAAUGAUUUUAAAUCCUAGCUCUGCUACUUACUUACUUAUAAUAAUGACAAUGGUAGGGAUGGAGAU